rnacentral:rRNA from 1 species
GCUGUUCAGAUUAGCCAUGCAUGCCUCAGUAUAAGCUUCUAUACGGCGAAACUGCGAAUGGCUCAUUAAAACAGUUAUAGUUUAUUUGGUGGUCAGCAAUUACAUGGAUAACCGUGGUAAUUCUAGAGCUAAUACAUGCGCCCAAACCCGACUUCGUGGAAGGGUUGUGUUUAUUAGAUACAGAACCAACCCAGGCUCCGCCUGGCCUUGAGGUGAUUCAUAAUAACCGAACGAAUCGCAUGGCUAUGCCGGCGAUAGACCAUUCAAGUUUCUGACCUAUCAGCUAUCGUCGGUAGGGUAUUGGCCUACCGUGGCAAUGACGGGUAACGGAGAAUUAGGGUUCGAUUCCGGAGAGGGAGCCUGAGAAACGGCUACCACAUCUAAGGAAGGCAGCAGGCGCGCAAAUUACCCAAUCCUGACGCAGGGAGGUAGUGACAAGAAAUAACAAUACAGGGCAUACAUGUCUUGUAAUUGGAAUGAGUAAACUUUAAAUCACUUUA